rnacentral:lncRNA from 10 species
CCACAAAAGGAUGAGUGGUGUGAUGGUGGGGCAGCACUUGGCCCCGGGUUCGGGAAGACUCUUUAGUCUGGGACCAGAGGGUUGAUUGGAUUUAGUCAAGUAAUAAGUGAUGGUGGUGGGGGCGGGGAGGGGCUGGUGGUGUAGCCUGUGUGAAGGCCCAGGGGUGAGCCAGUGAGGAUGAGUGGCGGUGGGCGAGUGGUGGUGAGUGAAUGGUGGUGAGUGAGCCGGGCUUACGCGGGGAGGUGCAGAGUUGGGAGUGGGUGGGUUCGGUGCUGGAUGGUGAGAAGCUCUUCUGGAGGGCUAAGCAGGGCCUGGGGCCUCAGGCUGUGGCUUGGCCUUUUCCCCAAGAGCACUGGGGAGCCAUGGAGUGUUAUAGAACAGUCACUGCAGACUGAGCAGUGAACGGACAGUAGGUGGGCAGGGCUGUCCGAAAUCUAGGCCGCAGAGGAUAGAUGGGGAAGUUGAGUCUAGGGAAAUGGCCAAGACAAGGGAUGCUGUUGCGGAUCCCCUCUGCCUUGCAGCGCUUUGUCCAUCCUCCCAGGAUGGACGUCAUGGCAUAGUGAGACUAGAGGGGUCUCCUGUGGCCUGGCCCAGAGCCCCAGGGGCUGUGGCUAAAUCUGCCCAUUUCCCAGCACAGGCCAGGCACCCAUUCCUGGCCCUAGGAGGGAUAAGAUUUUGGAAAGGACCGUGUGAAGGGGCCCCAGUCCCACACAUCUGCCCAAGGAGGGGUAGAGGGUUCAGACCCAGGCUUCUUCCCCAGGGGCAUUCUCUGACUGGAAGGAGACCCUCCAGGAACCCAGCGCCCAACCCCCACUGCGGGAAGGGGCACAAAGAGGGCGGGGGAGCAGGGCAAGUGGGGGGGCACAGGGAAGCUGGCCCAGGGCCCCAGCAGCCCCUGUCUCUUGGGAUCAUUUGGUUUCUUGGCAUCAGAUUCUUUGAGCUGCUGGGCCUGGGGUCGUCCCAGGGCUGCAGAUGGCCCGUGAGUCCCAGCUUGAGCCUCGCUUGUUGGGUGACACGUCUUCCCAUCCCUGCCUGCACACCUCCCCAAAGGUCAUCUCAACCCCAGCAGAGGCAGGCCUACAAAUCCUCUCUGGACUACACCAAACGAAGUCUGGGGAUUUUCAUUGACCUCCAGAAGAAAGAGGCGGCGCAUGCCUGGCUGCAAGCAGGGAAGAUCUAUUACAUCCUGUACAUCCAGGGGCACAGAAUGUGGCCCUGUACACAGGCGACCCCAACCUGGGGCUGGAGCUGUUUGAGGCAGCUGGAGACACCUUCUUCAAUGGGACCUGGGAGCGGGAGAAAGCCGUGUCCUUCUACUGGGACCGGGCGCUGCUCCUGGCAGUGA